AGGGAUCCUUAUCUACUGUCUCUGUAUCUUGAAUAGGAGUCUAUCAGAAAUAGUCUCUCUACUUCUUCGGAAGUAAUGAUAUGGACUGCGUAUAUUUUAUAUUUCUCAGACCCCACUUGAUGGGAACUUACGAGGUAUGUUGUUGAAUUAAUUAAGUAGGAAUAUUAUAAGAGGAGCUAAUUGUUUCAAAAUAUAUCCUCCCAAAUUUUUAGCAUUUAUUUUAGGUAAUAUAAUAUUUGGAUCAAAUCAAUUGCUCUAAAUUUUUCUUACAAAACCAGAACUCCCAAGCUUGAAGAUUUCACCAAAAUCCUCACCCUCUUGCCAAUUGUGUUUUUUUCCCACUUAACAGAGGGAUUUUAUAUUUUUGGCAAACUUAAAAAUAAAGAAAAGGUAUUUUAGUGUGUGUUUGACCAUGAGAAUUUUUUUCUCAUUUUUUAAAUUCUUUUUCAUUUUAUUUCAAAUACAACUCCAACUUGAUGAACAUUUCAAAUACAAAUUGAAUUCAUACUUGAAAAAGUGAAAAUAAGUUUCAAGUUACAUUUAAAACUUAUUUUCACUUUCUUUACUUCCACUUCUCUCACAAAACUCAAUAACUAACUCCAAUUCAUAUUCAUAAACUUCAAACUCCAUAUCUUUUUCAUGUUUUAUGUAAUUCUGUCCACGUAAUUUUCGCAGGUCGGCAAAAUCAACCUUAUAUAUAAACACAAAAAAAUCAAAUCAGUAAUUUGCGUAAAAUCAACCUUAUAGAAACAAGCAAAAUCAUUGAACAAAAAAGGGAUUUGCGAAAACGUAAUCGAUCUUCUUGUCGGUCUGUUUCAAGAUGUUAUUGUUAAAAAAAUUAGGAGUUCGGUUGGUGAAUGCUGAAUACAUUAAUGACAAAGUAGUGAACAAGUGCGUCAAUGACAUCAACGGUGCUCUUCUCCAGGCCCACGUUCUGUGUCUACUAAUAUCAACAACAGCCUUAUCAAUCUUGAAGGAGCCCCUAAACACAAAAGGCGUACCAUCAUUCUACAGGUUUGACCUUGUUAUGCUACUCGAAUUUGUAUAAGAGGAGGUCACCAGAGUUGUAGAGGAGGAAAUCUUUAUCAAUUUAUGGUUUGAAAGAUUUCAUCGACCUUGUUAUAUGAUGCUACUGUCUGGUUGCUUUCCAAUUAGGCUGUGUAUAACGAGCUCUGCAAGAUAUUCGACUCUGGGAAGCCUUCAUUUGCACCGCAAAAAGGGAAACCUAGUGUUAUAUUGUUUGUUGGUUUGCAAGGGUCUGGAAAAACUACAACAUGUACAAAAUAUGCUUAUCACCACCAGAAAAUGGGUUGGAAGCCGGCUCUAGUCUGUGCAGAUACCUCCAGAGCUGGUGCUUUUGAUCAGUUGAAGCAGAAUGCAACAAGAGCUAAAGUUCCUUUUUAUGGAAGGCAUCUGAAUCUAUUAUUUUUAUUGUUAUCUGAUUAUCUCCACACGUUUAGAAGCUUGAUGUUCAUUCUACUAUCUAAUGAUGAUCACAAGAUUAAAGUUAAUUAGCUGACAGCUGCCCAAAAGUGAAUGGUACCUUACUAAGAGCGUCCCUUCCAUGGUAACUGGUACUGAUGCAUGAGAAAAUAUGCGCUGUUAAUAAAGCCUAAAACUUGAUCUCCCUAUAGUUGACUCAAUCUCUCCUGCUACACUUCAACAUCCUACUUCCUAGUCCUCCAUAUCUCAUUUCUAGAUCCUUGUUCAUGUCGUUGAAAGAACUGUGUAAAAUGUUUAUAACUCUGAACUUUUAGCAAUUUUAUAUCUGAAUCUUUCGAAGUAUUAAACAGUAUCCAACUGCGUCGAGUGUGCUUCGUGAGCUAAUGAUAUGAUACUUUGAACAGUGGAACCAUGGAGGGGUACCAAAAAGGUACAGUACAUAAUUAAUCCUUUUAAGUCGAAUUUUCACCCAAAUGGGAAAAGGAGGGGAAAAUGAGAAAGCUAUUCUUGUUGCUGUUAGGCUAAAGGAAUAUACAGUUCACCUGCUUUGAUGGAAUUUACUGUUGUUGUGCAUCUUUCUUAAUAGGACUGAACCUGUGAUUGCUAUACAGAAUCAGACCCAGUGAAAAUAGCUGUGGACGGUGUAGAAAUGUUUAAGAAGGAAAACUGUGAUCUAAUUAUUGUGGAUACCAGUGGGUGCCACAAACAAGAAGCAGCUCUUUUUGAAGAAGUGCAACAAGUUUCUGAAGCAACGAAACCGGAUCUCGUGAUAUUCGUUAUAGAUAGUACUAUUGGACAAGCCGCUUUUGAUCAAGUUCAAGCAUUUCAACAAGGUGUUGCUCUUGGAGCUGUGAUUCUUACUAAGAUGGAUGGCCAUCCAAAAGGAGGUGGUGCCCUGAUUGCAGUUGCUAUUAUGGAAAUGGUCCAAACAUGUAUGAUUUUGAAGUAUUUGACGUUGAACCAUUUGUGAACGGUCUUAUAGGCAUGGAUCACUUGUCUGGAUUGGCGACCACGACAUGGGAUACGGUCUCAAUGGAUCCCGAGCUUUUUCUGAAGUAUUCAAAAGGACAGUUUACCUUGAGGAUCAUGUAUGAGCAAUUACAGAAAGCGCUUAAAAGGGAUCCCCUUGGACAGGUUGAAAAGGAAUGUCAGUUUGAAUAUAAACGGUAUGUGACAAUGAUGGAGUCCAUGACUGAUGAAGGCAAGUGAGCUACAUUUUAUGGAGUUCAGUUUAAGUUAUUUGUACACCUUAUUCAGAAUGUAGUUUAACCUUUUGAUUUGAAAUUGACAACAACAAACCUGCAUGCAGAAUUGGACAGUCCCAAGCCAAAGAUUAUGACUGCAUCUCGAGUCAUGGAUAUAGCUAAGGCAUCUGGCUGCCUAGUUCAUGAGGUGAUGGAGAUGUUGGAACGAUACAAAUGUUUUACCGUGAUAACCAGCAACAUGAAGGAUCGUCAACAAAUGAGCUGCCGGUCCAGAAACAUGAAUGCACAAAAGAUCCCCAUUGAUUGUUGAAGCAGAAUUUCAACAUAUUAUUGUAGAUAAGUAUCUUAUGUUCUAUCUGUCUAAAAACUUGGUCUUUGUUACAGGGCUCUCUUCCUCAUGACAAUUCAUCCGUUUCCUUAAUUUUAGCAUCGUUUACGUAAA